GACGAACGCUGGCGGCGUGCUUAACACAUGCAAGUCGAGCGGUAAGGCCCUUCGGGGUACACGAGCGGCGAACGGGUGAGUAACACGUGGGUGAUCUGCCUCGUACUUCGGGAUAAGCCUGGGAAACUGGGUCUAAUACCGGAUAUGACCUUGGACUGCAUGGUCUUUGGUGGGAAGAUUUAUCGGUACGAGAUGGGCCCGCGGCCUAUCAGCUUGUUGGUGGGGUAACGGCCUACCAAGGCGACGACGGGUAGCCGGCCUGAGAGGGCGACCGGCCACACUGGGACUGAGACACGGCCCAGACUCCUACGGGAGGCAGCAGUGGGGAAUAUUGCACAAUGGGCGAAAGCCUGAUGCAGCGACGCCGCGUGAGGGAUGACGGCCUUCGGGUUGUAAACCUCUUUCGACAGGGACGAAGCGCAAGUGACGGUACCUGUAGAAGAAGCACCGGCCAACUACGUGCCAGCAGCCGCCGUAAAAC
rnacentral:rRNA from 1 species